AUCUCUAUGGUGAAACGGUAUCAUGGUCGCUUGCCAUUGCCUCAACGGCUCAACUUGCGAUCGGCAGGGGUUCGACUCCCCUUGGAGAUA